GAUGAACGCUAGCGGCAGGCCUAACACAUGCAAGUCGAGGGGCAGCACGAUUGAGCUUGCUUAAUUGGUGGCGACCGGCGCACGGGUGCGUAACGCGUAUGCAACCUACCUUAUACUGGGGUAUAGCCCGAAGAAAUUCGGAUUAAUCCCCCAUAGCAUUAUCGAUUCGCAUGUUUUGAUAAUUAAAGGUUACGGUAUAA
rnacentral:rRNA from 1 species